rnacentral:rRNA from 1 species
UGCCAGCAGCCGCGGUAAUACGGAGGGUGCAAGCGUUGUCCGGAUUUAUUGGGUUUAAAGGGUACGUAGGUGGAUCCUUAAGUCCGUGGUGAAAUCCCGCAGCUUAACUGUGGAACUGCCAUGGAUACUGGGGAUCUUGAAUUCAGUUGAGGUUGGCGGAAUUUAUGAUGUAGCGGUGAAAUGCAUAGAUAUCAUAAAGAACACCUAUUGCGAAGGCAGCUAACUGGACUUGAAUUGACACUGAGGUACGAAAGCGUGGGGAGCGAACAGGAUUAGAUA